AAUUGAAGAGUUUGAUCAUGGCUCAGAUUGAACGCUGGCGGCAGGCCUAACACAUGCAAGUCGAACGGUAACAGGGAGCAGCUUGCUGCUCUGCUGACGAGUGGCGGACGGGUGAGUAAUGUCUGGGAAACUGCCUGAUGGAGGGGGAUAACUACUGGAAACGGUAGCUAAUACCGCAUAACGUCUUC
rnacentral:rRNA from 1 species